rnacentral:lncRNA from 1 species
UAGAUGUGGGACCAUGUCACGCUCAUGGACCACUCUGAUGGCCUUGGGCACGUGUCUCUUGAAGUAGGAAGCAAAAACGGCGUUGCCGAUCCGCGGUUGUCCAAAUGUCAUCAGCUGAACAUCGGUCUCACCGAGGUUGACCUGGGCAGGAAGGAUCGCAGGGCCACGUUAAGUCAAAAAACCAACAGGAGGUCAACGGCAUGCUAGGCAGAGUCAAAGAAGGCGAGAACAAGUCGACGAGCCAGGGCUUGGGAAAAGAGCAUUGCAGCUUGAAGGCUCUGAACCGGGAUGGAUUUUUCACAGCAAUGGCAGCAGUUAAGGAGGGCUCUUUCAAUGGGGAAUCUAAGCAUCAAUGAACAAGCUGUAAGUCAACACGCCCGCAGCAUUUGACGCGGUUUUCUAUAUAGAAUUAGUAAGUCAAGAUCCAGUUUGGAGCGAAUAUCCAAGAUAGCAGUUGACCCAGUAAAAGAAAUAUUCCUUGGAUAUGUCAGAAUGAAUAAAACUGGACCCACACAAAGCCAUAAGCAUAGAGAGGCGAAUGACAGAGAGAGAGUGGUGCAUUAAAUCAAGCAUGAGGCAGACGCGAGAUAAAUAAUGAAGAAACAAUCAAUUAUGAAUGAAAGUUCAGCGAUUUUUACGGCGAGAUCGAGCGCGCAAAAGGAAGCCAUGGCUCCUCCCAUUGAAUGCCCAGUCACCAUUAUGCCGAUCUUCCCAUAGAUCUUCUUAGCUCUUUGCACAGCAUUCAAAAUUCCGGGCCGUAGAGUCGUAUUAUGAUAAGCGGAAUAAAAUCCAUGGUGCACCUGAGGAAGGGAAAAGGGUCACAUGAACAUGUAUAAACGUGCGUACGGGUAAUAGUAAGAAUGCCACGAGAGAUUACAGACCAUAGCAUCAGAAACCUCAGGAUAGUUCAGAUCAAGUUGUUUCCAGAACAGGUCUUCUAUCCAAUUCUGUAUGCUGUAUGCCAAGAGAAAAUUAAAAGAAAGAUCCCACACACUGCUCCAAAAAUAUUUUCCAAGCAUAAAGUGCGUAAAUCCUAAAUAAAUCGAUGAUGUAAGUAUUUUUUUACAGUGGAAAGAGUGGGAACAACGCUAAAUUCCUCCCCCCAAUAAGAGAAAGAAAAAUUGGUUUUGACCAAAAAAUGCAAAGAUAAAGUGUACAUUAUGGAGAUUAGUUAAUUUUCCGCUUAUACACCUUUUCUUUUCAAUAAACAAGACGUUAUCUAGAAUCCUGACUAAAGAAAAAGAAAAUCCUGACUAAAGGCCUAGAUAUCAUUCAUUAAGGAAGUCUCAACAAAGCGUCUCAUCUCUUAUUUUCUUCAUUCUCUUCUUUGUCAUUGGGGAGCUGGCGACCAGUCGGCCAAGCAUAUAUCUCUCUCCCUCUCAGUCUUUCCAUACUCGGCAUAUACAAGCACAAUCAACACUCAGCGAAUAUGAUAAGCAGGUUCUGGAAUCCAUUGUGAUCGUCGUUUUAUGUAAAAUUUGAACGAGAAUUCAACAAUUGAAUAAUCAGGCAAAUCAUAUUGAGCAGCACAGAGUGUUAAC